AGAUCUGUUGUCGUUGAUGCAUAGCUCAGCAAACUAAAUCUUCGUGAUUGUGCACAACUUAUUGUCACUACCACUGAGACAAUAGAUGG